UACAGAGGUGGCAAGCGUUGUUCGGAAUUACUGGGCGUAAAGGGCGCGUAGGCGGUCUUGUAAGUCUUGUGUGAAAUCCCUCGGCUUAACUGAGGAACUGCACGGGAUACUGCGAGACUUGAGAUCGGGAGAGGGAAGCGGAAUUCCGGGUGUAGCGGUGAAAUGCGUAGAUAUCCGGAGGAACACCAGUGGCGAAGGCGGCCCCCUGGGCCGGGCCUGACGCUGAGGCGCGAAGGCGUGGGGAGCAAACGGG
rnacentral:rRNA from 1 species